rnacentral:antisense_RNA from 1 species
GGGUGCUUGAGGCUUUGUGGGCUUUGAGCAUUUUCAGGGUUCCAGAAAGACGAAAGCCCCAGACGAUAUUUCUAUCAACCUGAGGCUAGCGACUGAACCCGAACAGUUCAGAUGUUAGCCUCUUCUUUGCAGGGAGGCAAGA